rnacentral:rRNA from 1 species
AUUCCUACGGGAGGCAGCAGCCGCGGUAAUUGCCCAAUGUACAGUGGUACGAGGCAGUGACGAAGCAUCUUGACCUGGCUUCGGCCAGUAUCAAGCUGGGAGAGGCCCCACGACCUCUCGAAUGCAAUUAGUGGGAGAGCAUGGUGCCAGCAGCCGCGGUAAUAAU